GUCCCUUUGGGGACAUCUGAUAACAAUUUGGAACGAUACAGAGAAGAUUAACAUGGUCCCUGCGUAAGGAUGACACGUACAAAUCGAGAAAUGACCCUUGAAUUG
rnacentral:snRNA from 1 species